ensembl:lncRNA
GUAAGAAGACAGUUGGGUCAUGUAGUUUGUUGGGGCCCUGUAAGAAGACAGUUGGGUCCUGUAGUCUGUUGGGGCCCAGUAAGAAGACAGUUGGGUCAUGUAGUCUGUUGGGGCCCAGUAAGAAGACAGUUGGGUCCUGUAGUCUGAUCUAACAUGAGUGGGAGUGACAUCUGAAGAGAAAAAGAAGCAUGUUUUGAUCAAUAGCUGUUGAAUCGUUUAAUCCGAUCAGUUCUUAUCCUGACAGACCAGACCUAGCUGUGCUGUGAUGAAUCAUUCUGCUAUUGGAGAUAAUAUCCUGACCACAACUUUCUCUGUAAGGUGUUGCUGAACUUUGCCGCUUUGUGACUUCAGAUCUUUUGGUUCUGGCUGGUCAAUUGGGUUUUUGCUGACGUGCAAAUUAAUCUGUUCCUUAUAGUUUUUUUUUUGAUUGACACAUCUCACAUCCUAUCAUAAUCUUCCUCGUGUUGGUGAAAUAGUAAUAUGCAAUAGAUUGCACGAAAGUCUGUAAAGGAGGUAUUGUAAAUCUUCAGUCUCUUAAGUAUGUUGCCGGGGCCUUUCUCCCACUGAAAUGAUCACCGUAUGUGUUCCUGGAUCCCGAUAAGCCCAGUUUAUGUACGUAUGUUUCAAGUUGUAUUUGUCACGUGUACAAAUACAGUGAAACGCUUAACUUGCAAGCCGUACCCAACAGUACAGUAUUCAAUAUCAAACUAGUAUAAAAUACAGAAUUAACAUGAGAAAUAAGAAAUAAGAGAGGAUCCUAUAUGCAGGGUCAGUGUCAGUAACAUACUUACAAUGUGCAGGAAUAUGGGGCGGCAGGUAGCCUAGUGGUUAGAGUGGAGGGGCGGCAGGUAGCCUAGUGGUUAGAGUGGAGGGGCGGCAGGUAGCCUAGUGGUUAGAGUGGAGGGGCGGCAGGUAGCCUAGUGGUUAGAGUGGAGGGGCGGCAGGUAGCCUAGUGGUUAGAGUGGGGGGGCGGCAGCUAGUGGUUAGCGUGUUGGACUUGUAACCAAAAGGUUGCAAGAUCAAAUCCCCAAACUGACAAGGAAAAAAUCUGUUGAUCUGCAUUUGAACAAGUCAGUUAACCCAAUGUUCCUAGCUGAUGUGUUCCUAGGCUGUCACUGAAAAUAAGAAUUUGUUCUUUAACUGACUUGCCUAGUUAAAUAAACGUAUUGGAGUGUUUGAGGUAGAUAUAUAUAUAUAUAUAUAUAUAUAUAGGGGUAAGGUGAUGGCAGCAUUUGUGCAAAACUGAAAGUGCUAACUGUCACAUUUAACCAUGACUGUGAAUAUGGCCAAAUAGCGUAGCUAAUUCCCUCUGUAAGGCAGUCAAACAGGCUAAAUGCAUUACAGUACAAAGACUCGAGACGUACAGUGGCUAGUGAAAGUAUUCACCCCCCUUGACAUUUUUCUUAUUUUGUUG